UAUAUUGUCGGACUACAUCGUGAACAAUGGAAUAUUACAGUUGGAAUAUUAAACCUUAUAUUGAUGGGGAAAUUACUACCAAAAAAUGAUGAAGUAUAAAAGUUGAAUAGAUACAUUGAAGAUACUUCCCAGCG